UACAGAGGGGGCAAGCGUUGUUCGGAAUUACUGGGCGUAAAGGGCGCGUAGGCGGCCUUCUAAGUCGAACGUGAAAUCCCCGGGCUCAACCCGGGAACUGCGUCCGAUACUGGAAGGCUUGAAUCCGGGAGAGGGAUGUGGAAUUCCAGGUGUAGCGGUGAAAUGCGUAGAUAUCUGGAGGAACACCGGUGGCGAAGGCGACAUCCUGGACCGGUAUUGACGCUGAGGCGCGAAAGCGUGGGUAGCAAACAGG
rnacentral:rRNA from 1 species